rnacentral:rRNA from 1 species
AACGAACGCUGGCGGCGCGUCUUAACCAUGCAAGUCGAGCGGCAGGCAGCAAUGCCGAGAGCGGCGGACUGGUGAGUAACACGUGGAUAACGUACCCCGAUGUCUGGGACAGCCUGUAGAAAUAGAGGGUAAUACCGGAUAGAUCACUGUUUACGUGAGGUAGACAGCGGGAAAGGAGCUUCGGCUCCGCGUCGGGAACGGUCUGCGGCCCAUCAGCUAGACGGCGGGGUAAGUGCCCGCCGUGGCGAGGACGGGUAUCCGGCCUGAGAGGGCGGACGGACACAUUGGGACUGAGAUACGGCCCAGACUCCUACGGGAGGCAGCAGGUAAGAAUAUUCCGCAAUGGGGGGAACCCUGACGGAGCGACGCCGCGUGAACGAAGAAGGCCGGAAGGUUGUAAAGUUCUUUUCUGUUCGAGGAAUAAGUGUAGGAGGAAAUGCCUACAUGGGGACGGUAGGGCAG